rnacentral:rRNA from 1 species
AGAGUUUGAUCCUGGCUCAGGAUGAAUUCUGGCGGCGUGCUUAACACAUGCAAGUCGAGCGAAGCGGCUGAAUUGAUUCUUCGGAUGAUUUUCAGUUGACUGAGCGGCGGACGGGUGAGUAACGCGUGGGUGACCUGCCCCAUACCGGGGGAUAACAGCUGGAAACGGCUGCUAAUACCGCAUAAGCGCACAGAGCUGCAUGGCUCGGUGUGAAAAACUCCGGUGGUAUGGGAUGGGCCCGCGUCUGAUUAGGCAGUUGGCGGGGUAACGGCCCACCAAACCGACGAUCAGUAGCCGGCCUGAGAGGGCGACCGGCCACAUUGGGACUGAGACACGGCCCAAACUCCUACGGGAGGCAGCAGUGGGGAAUAUUGCACAAUGGGGGAAACCCUGAUGCAGCGACGCCGCGUGAGCGAAGAAGUAUUUCGGUAUGUAAAGCUCUAUCAGCAGGGAAGAUAAUGACGGUACCUGACUAAGAAGCCCCGGCUAACUACGUGCCAGCAGCCGCGGUAAUACGUAGGGGGCAAGCGUUAUCCGGAUUUACUGGGUGUAAAGGGAGCGUAGACGGCAAGGCAAGUCUGAUGUGAAAACCCAGGGCUUAACCCUGGGACUGCAUUGGAAACUGUCUGGCUCGAGUGCCGGAGAGGUAAGCGGAAUUCCUAGUGUAGCGGUGAAAUGCGUAGAUAUUAGGAAGAACACCAGUGGCGAAGGCGGCUUACUGGACGGUAACUGACGUUGAGGCUCGAAAGCGUGGGGAGCAAACAGGAUUAGAUACCCUGGUAGUCCACGCCGUAAACGAUG